GAUAAUCUUGGUGCAACAUUUUAUGAGCCAUCCCAAAUUCCAGAUGGAUUUUUCAUGCUUGGUUCCUAUAGCCAACCUAACAAUCAACCCUUUUUUGGUUGGAUUCUUGUUGCAAAAGACACCUCCACUGAUCAAUCAUCAAGCAAUGAAACUCUCAAGAAACCAACUGAUUACACUUUAAUCUGGAGCAGUGAGUCCUUGAAGACCAGCCAAGAUGGCCAUGGCUACAUUUGGUUGCCAGUAGCACCUGAUGGCUACAGAGCCGUUGGCUAUGUUGUGACCGCGACACCCGGACAAGCCUUCUCUUGAUAAAGUCCGAUGUGUUAUCUCUGAACUCACUGAUGAAUGUGAAGCUGAAAACUGGAUUUGGGGCGAAGGCAAAACAAGCAGUGAUAGUGAUUUCAAUGUGUACAGUUCAAGGCCUAGUGUUAGAGGGAUACAAGCGCAAGGCGUCGGUGUAAAUACAUUCAUAGUCGAGAAUGAAUCAGAUGAUAAUUCUUCUUCAACAACCAUAGCUUGUUUGAAGAAUAACAACUUCAGCAAUUUUUCAUCCAUGCCUAAUAUGCAACAGGUUGAAGCAUUAUUUCAGGCAUAUUCUCCUCGGAUAUUCUUACACCCCAAGGAAAAUUACUUUCCCUCUUCAGUCAAUUGGUAUUUUGAGAAUGGUGCAUUAUUGUAUACCAAGGGAGAUGAGUCAAAUCCUGUUGCCAUCCAAUAUAAUGGUGCCAAUCUACCCCAGGGAGAAUCCAAUGAUGGAGCUUACUGGCUGGACCUACCUGUUGACGAAAAUGCCAAAGAAAAAGUCAAGAAAGGAGAUCUACAAAGUGCUGAGGCUUAUAUCCAGAUUAAACCUAUGUUAGGUGCAACAUUUACAGACAUUGCAAUUUGGAUUUUUUACCCGUUUAAUGGUCCUGGAACGGCUAAACUUGGAUUAAUCGACAUCCCAUUAGGCCGAACUGGCGAACAUAUUGGAGAUUGGGAGCAUUUGACCCUAAGAAUCAGCAAUUUUAAUGGGAUUUUGUACAAGGUUUAUUUUUCAGAACAUAGCAAAGGAAUAUGGGUAGAUGCACCACUACUUGAAUUUCAUGAUGGUACUAAUAAACCAGUCGCAUAUUCGGCAUUGAGUGGCCAUCCAAACUAUCCAAAACCAGGGCUUGUUUUGCAAGGGGCAGGUGAUGUUGGAAUAAGAAAUGAUGCAGCAAAGGGUGACAAGUUUUUGGACACGGGAGCAAAGUAUUCAAUAGUUUCAGCUGAGAAUCUUGGCUUGGGAAUUGUUGAGCCACCGUGGCUGAAUUAUUUGAGAAAAUGGGGUCCUGAUAUUGUGUAUGAAUCUGGGGUUGAAGUUCAGAAAGUGGAAGGAUCGUUGCCUGAAAAUCUGAAAUCUGCAUUUGCAAGAUUGGUGAAUAUUUUGCCUAAAGAAGUUUAUGGGGAGGAAGGUCCUACCGGUCCAAAGGUGAAAGGUAGUUGGAGUGGGGAUGAAAGAUCAUAAAAAUAUAUGGUAGAGGCUUAGAGCCCACAUUUCAAAAUAUCACAAUGCAUUCAAGUCAGAUACCUUUUUUUUCCUGGUCAUUUUUUGGGUGUUAGUUACAGCUUGUCUCAUAUAGCAUUGAUUCUUCAUUGGACAUAUCUAUUCUUUUUCUGUUUGGCUUGUAAUUCUCUGGAAAAUAAAUGAUAAGAAACACCUUCAUGUACUUUUCUUUUCCAAGAUGUGAUUAAAUUAAGCAUAAUGUUUCCACAUGAAACACCUUCAUUAGUAAUUUAAAAAUCCACAGGUUAUACAAACAUUAUAUGCAGUUAGUUUGUACAGUCACAUUCUUGAACCAAAUUAACCACUCCAACGUCCAAUUUUAUCAGGAAGUUUAUGAAGGUAAAGCGAUAAAAAUAGUACUACCUAUUGUAAUCGAUAGUUUAUGCAUAGCCAAUUUUAGCUAAGAAUACAACAAACUAAGGGUCCGUUUGUUUCGGGUGAAAAUGUUUUCCAGGAAAAUAUUUUCCUAAUUUCCCGUGUUUGGUUGCACAAAAGUUACUGAAAACAUUUUCCUAUGUAAAAUAUUUUCACUCAUCUUAUGGAAAACAACUUCCCUUCCAAACUUACUGAAGUUGUUUUCCGAAAUGCAUGCAUCCCGCCUGUAGUAUGUUUCAAACUUACUGAAAACAUCUUGUAGUAUGUUCUUUUUUUUUUUUAGUGUAAAUAGGAGAAUUCGAACUCAAAACCUCUUCCUUACACUCCCUUCCCCGUACCACCCAACCCAACCCUCCCACUAGUAUAUUCAAAAUAAUAAUAAUAAAAAAAACCUCAUCCUGCUCAUCCUAUGCUAGUAAUUAAUUAUGUAUAAUAGGGACAUUCUUUUCUAGAGAAACUUUCAGCAGUGAGAGUGCAAGAUAUAUGUUAUAAUAAGCAUUGCAUGUAAUUGAUAUUUGACACUAAAUGGCCAGCAAUUUGUUUAUUACUUAAGGAGAUAUUUUUUAUUCAUAUAUACAUUUCUCCAAGAUUUUUAAAAUUAAACAAUGAGAUAAAUUUUCUUAUUCUGCAUGGGAAAGAAGUAUGUAGUUAUAAUGUGUAGAAAGUAAAGAUAGAGAUAAAAGUGAAAAUAUUUCAAAAGUUAAAUAAACACCAGAAAAAUGAAGUAAGAAAAUAUUUUUAAUAAACUAACCAAACACCUGAAAAUGAUGAAAGGGAAAUGAUUUUCAUGGAAAAUUACUUCCAUGGAAAAUAUUUUCCCAAGGAAAACAUUUUACUUCCAACCAAACAGACCCUAAAAAGAAAAAAAGGAAUUAUGAAAUUUCUUAUCAAAUUCGUACAUGAGAAUGAGAAUAUAAAUCCCAUACUUGAAUACACUGGAACUCUACGUACAAAUACACUUCGUUAACUCUAGUAAGUAGCCAUCAUCGACAGCCCAAUGUUGCCAUUUGGCUCUCUGCAGUGUUAAGAGUCUCGUGACUAACUAGUCUAAUAUUUAAAAUUAACUGAGAUGAAGCUGAAAAUAGCCUGGCUACUAGAAUUCAAAGAAUAAAUCGUGCAAGGCAAUGGUAAUCAUCUUCAUUGUCGUUUUGCUUUGUUGAAUUACACAGUAAUAUGAUAUUUAUUAAUCUUGGGUAAAUUACAUAUAACCCUUGGGGUUUCGUCUAUUGCCAUAUGAUCCCUAAUGUUUCAAUCCACUUUACCCUCCUAUGAUUUUAUGUAAAAUGAAAAUUUGACGAAAAAUAACCUAUGUAACAUUGUUAAUUGAAAUACCAAUAGUGCCCGUUAUUAAAUAUUAAAUCAAUUAACGAUUUAACUAUCUCAUAUAAAAGUAUAGGGGGAUUAUGUGGAUAAAUGUAAAUACACAAGAGGUAAAGUGAAUAUUUAUACAAAUUAUAAGGGAGUUACAUGAAGAUUAAAAUUUUAUCACACGUGCUUUUAGAACGCAUUUGGUAUAAAAGCUGUAACUGAUUGUAUAUUUCGUCUAUUUUAUACUUUACAUAAAGCCAUAGGGGGGUUAUGUAACUAUUUUGAAACACAUGUCAAAUCACAGGCGGAUUAUAAGUAAUUUAUCCAUUUUACCCAUUAAUCUUCUAUCUCUUCUAGUAGCAGCUAAGUUGCCAUUAGAAUAAGAGCAAAUGGCCAAGAUAAUCACCAAACUAUUUAAAAUGGCACGGUCUGGUCAUAAAACUCUUUUUUUAGCCAAAAAGGUCACUCAACUAUUUAAAAUAGGACUAUUGGGUCAUGUUGGCUAAUUUAACAGCUAAACUAAUCGAAAAGAAGCAUAUUUGACCUGCUAUUUUAAGUUAUUAGGGGAAAAAGUCCUAAAUUACAGGUCAUUUUCGGUUGAUUUAGCAAAGAAUGACCUGAAAUGUCUAUUUUAAAGAGUCAAGUGACCUUUUUAGCAAAAAAAAAAAAAAUUAAUGACCAAAUUGUACCAUUUUAGAUAGAUUAAUGAUCAUUCUGGCCAUUUACUCUUAAAAUAAUAAAGUGGUGGACAAAUUGUCCAUUUUGAUUGAGGUAUAUACCCGCGCCCAUGAGCGGAGCCACAACAACUCAAUCUUUUAGAAUUUUUAGAAUAGCCACAAAAAAUUUAACCUUUCUAUUAUUGCCCCAUUUUUCCUUCAGCACCCCCCCCCCCCAAAACAAAACCCGGGCGCAGAAAUUUGAUAAUAUUCCCUUUAACCCCACAAUUGUCCCUCAAAAAUUUUAAAAUAUUUUAUGGUUACCACUAUCAUUUCUACAAUGCAAUAUUAAAAUAAAAUAUAUUGUAGGAUAUUAUUUUUAUUUUCUUUCUAACAAAUUUUAUUCACUUAACAUUAAACUUUUCUUAAUUUUAUGAAUUACAAGUUAACCAACAUUCAUUUGAAACUUUUUGAUCUACUGCAGAAUGGGAUUCGGCCCUCGAUCCAAUUCUACUCACUCGUGGAUUCCAGGCCAGAUGUUUUAUAACAGUUAGAUUAUUCUGAAGUAUUUUAGCACCUUUUCAUGUUUAAAAGUGAUUCAUUACUAGUUUUUUGGUGUUUAAAACGUAUGAGAUUGAACAAGUCUCUUAACAUCAAUACUAACUUUGAGAACUUGAUAUAUGCUAUCAAAACUCUCCCUCUUCUUGUUGUAUUUUAGAAGUAAUUUGCUAUAUUCCUAUAGCAAAUACUCAGUGUAGUAAGGGCAAAUAGUACCUGAAGGAUAAUAUCAUUCUUCUUUUGUUUUGUGAAAUUUGGUACUGCAAAUUUUUGCAUUUUUACACUUUGUGUACAUCAACACAAGUAUCAUUUUAAAACACUGUAAAAUCUGAGUGGAAUAGAUACCCAAGACCCUGUGCUUGUUGCUGGAAGAAUGGUGAAGCCAUAGGAGGAGAAGCACUGCUAUAUUGGCUUUUUAUUUAGUCCAAAUGCGUUGUUUUUGAAUUAAAUAUAUCUAUUCAAUCACAUAAGACAUCACUUGGAUGGAAAGAUUGGAAUUGGUCCUUUUUCAAAAGCCUCAACAGCAAUGCUGGAGUUUUUGCUUUAUCCUUCCCAUGCAGUCGAGUCAAACUGUGCUGGCUGCAAAUAAAAAACACCACCAAUUUGCAUCAUACAUAUCUUGUUCAACUCAAUUUUCACACUUGUGAAUCACUAGCGAUAGAGCUCAAGAUAUAAAAAUUCGAAGGAUCAUAACUUGCACGACAAAAUCAUUCGUGGUCUAUGUUUUGUUGGAACCAAUCUAUUGUUUUUUUUUAAUUUUUUUUUGUAGGGGAUGGAUUAAAUUGAAGAAGUGGGGAGGGGGUUAAAGAGGGAUUUGAACCCUAGAACGUCUAAUUCAUGAAAUUCAAUUUAGCUAGCAGAAUCUGUUAAAGAUCUUGCUUACGAAAAAAGAAAAUAAUCCUUUGUGUAAAACUUAGAGCAUAUGUCCUUUUCUUCUAUGAAGAGUGACUUCGUUGACAGGUAGAAUUAAUGAUUUUUAAACGAUUCAAGAAAAAGUGUUUAACAUUUAGCUUCUAAUUAUAAGGGGUAAUUGAGGACAUUUAAUUAACUUUAUAGUCUCAUAAAUCUCAGCCGGAUCUCGAGGAAGCAUAUGCAAAAGACUUUUGUUUCCCCAUAAUUAGAUGUCUAAACCAAAAUUUUUAGGAACUUAAGCACAUGAUCCAGCUAAGUAAUUGGAAAGAUUAGAAUCAAUGCAGAUCUGGCCCUCCAAUGGAUUGAGGACUACGUGCAUUGCUUUACUUUAGCAAAUAAUUAGACAAAAGAGAUUGGAAUUUAUUCUUUUCUCUUUUCAUUUAAGCAUCAAGAGCAAGGCUGGUGGUUUUGCAAGGCAUUCGAGUCAAACUGUGCUUGCUGCAAACUAAUUAAUUACCAACGUGUAUAACCACAUCCUGCUUAGUUUUCCCACGUGAAAAUCACCAUCAAUAAUUCUCGAGUGCAUAAAUUUAUAGGAUCAUUGACUUGCACGGCAAAAUGAUUGGUGGCCUGUGUUUUGUAGGGACCGAUCUAACUAUUGGGAUAUUUGACUUUAGCCAUCUAAUUUUUAUCCAGACCGUUUGUUGCUUUAUAUAUAGAAACUGAAGCCUCCUCUAUACUUCUCCUACACCACUUUGAAAACGUUAUUAAAAAUGGGAAACCGUCUCCCAGCCACCUCUUCCUCAGAAAAACAAAGCAAAUCCCUGCCCAUUGACACCAUCUUCAAGUUCCCCUCUUCAAUGCCCAAAUGGCCAUCAGGUUCUAAUCAAUUCAUCUUCUUGUUUUCUUUCAUUUCUAGACAUUUCAAGAAAAGUUAAAAGCAUAUGUGCAUGGUCCACUAAGUCUCUAGUCUUCUUAGCUUAUAAUAGAAAUUUGACCAUGAAGCUACGAUAUGAUUGUUCAAUUGACUAUCUUCAUUUGGCCAAUUUGAUUUUAUUUCUCUUAGAUGUAGAUUUGUAUAUAUUUCCUUUUCAUUACUUGACUAAUGCAUUUGAGCUUGAAUGACAGGAGGUGGCUUUGCAAGUGAUUAUAUUGAUCUAGGUGGGCUCCAAGUGCACCAAACAUCAACCUUCAACAAAGUUUGGACCAUACGUGGAGGAGGACCAGAUGAUCUGGUGCAACAUUUUAUGAGCCAUCCCAAAUUCCAGAUGGAUUUUUCAUGCUCGGAUCCUACAGCCAGCCUAACAAUCAACCCUUUUUUGGUUGGAUUCUUGUUGCAAAAGACACCUCCACUGAUCAAUCAUCAAGCAAUGAAACUCUCAAGAAACCAACUGACUACACUCUAGUCUGGAGCAGUGAGUCCUUGAAGACCAGCCAAGAUGGCCAUGGCUACAUUUGGUUGCCAGUAGC
rnacentral:lncRNA from 1 species